UGGUGGAGCGAUUUGUCUGGUCAAUACCGAUAACGAACGAGACUCUAGCCUACUAAAUAGUUCGGGGACCCCCACAAAGGGGCCCCGCUUCAACUUCUUAGAGGGACAGGUGGCGUUUAGCCACACGAGAUUGAGCAAUAACA
rnacentral:rRNA from 1 species